GACGAACGCUGGCGGCGUGCUUAACACAUGCAAGUCGAACGGAAAGGCCCUGCUUUUGUGGGGUGCUCGAGUGGCGAACGGGUGAGUAACACGUGAGUAACCUGCCCUUGACUUUGGGAUAACUUCAGGAAACUGGGGCUAAUACCGGAUAGGAGCGCCUGCUGCAUGGUGGUGGUUGGAAAGUUUCGGCGGUUGGGGAUGGACUCGCGGCUUAUCAGCUUGUUGGUGGGGUAGUGGCUUACCAAGGCUUUGACGGGUAGCCGGCCUGAGAGGGUGACCGGCCACAUUGGGACUGAGAUACGGCCCAGACUCCUACGGGAGGCAGCAGUGGGGAAUAUUGCACAAUGGGCGGAAGCCUGAUGCAGCAACGCCGCGUGCGGGAUGACGGCCUUCGGGUUGUAAACCGCUUUCGCCUGUGACGAAGCGUGAGUGACGGUAAUGGGUAAAGAAGCACCGGCUAACUACGUG
rnacentral:rRNA from 1 species